GACGAACGCUGGCGGCGUGCUUAACACAUGCAAGUCGAACGGAAAGGCCCUGCUUUUGUGGGGUGCUCGAGUGGCGAACGGGUGAGUAACACGUGAGUAACCUGCCCUUGACUUUGGGAUAACUUCAGGAAACUGGGGCUAAUACCGGAUAGGAGCUCCUGCUGCAUGGUGGGGGUUGGAAAGUUUCGGCGGUUGGGGAUGGACUCGCGGCUUAUCAGCUUGUUGGUGGGGUAGUGGCUUACCAAGGCUUUGACGGGUAGCCGGCCUGAGAGGGUGACCGGGCACAUUGGGACUAAGAUACGCCACAGACUCGAACGGGAGGCAGCAGUGGGGAGUAUGGCACAACGGGCGGAAGCCUGAUGCAGCAACGCCGCGGGCGGGAUGACGGCCUUCGGGUUGUAAACCGCUUUCGCCUGUGACGAAGCGUGAGUGACGGUAAUGGGUAAAGAAGCACCGGCUAACUACGUG
rnacentral:rRNA from 1 species